UUUGGGUGAAAUAGUGGUCCGUUAAGUUGAAGAAAAAGACAUCAUCCCUUGAGAUAAAAUUAGGUUUGUUUCCUUUUACUCCCAAAAUCUUUUUACCGUGGGUAAAAAGAAUCAAUAUGGGGGUAUAAAAGGAACCAAAUUUAAGUUUAACUCAAGGGGUCUUGAUGUCGUUUUUUCAAACAGGACGGAUCAUUAUUUUCCCCAAG
rnacentral:pre_miRNA from 1 species